GGGAAGCGAAGCAGCGAUGCAGAGCAAACCCCUAAAAAUCGUCUCAGUUCGGAUUGCAGGCUGNAACCCGCCUGCAUGAAGCCGGAAUUGCUAGUAAUCGCGGAUCAGCAUGCCGCGGUGAAUACGUUCCCGGGCCUUGUACACACCGCCCGUCACACCAUGAGAGUCGGGAACACCCGAAGUCCGUAGUCUAACCGCAAGGGGGACGCGGCCGAAGGUGGGUUCGAUAAUUGGGGUGAAGUCGUAACAAGGUAGC
rnacentral:rRNA from 1 species